rnacentral:rRNA from 1 species
UGUAGCCUUGUUGGGGAGCUUCCCGGAACGAAAGUCUUUCGGUUCCUGGGGUAGUAUGGUUGCAAAGCUGAAACUUAAAGAAAUUGACGGAAGGGCACCACCAGGAGUGGAGCCUGCGGCUUAAUUUGACUCAACACGGGAAAACUCACCCGGCCCGGACACCGUUAGGAUUGACAGAUUGAAAGCUCUUUCUCGAUUUGGUGGUUGGUGGUGCAUGGCCGUUCUUAGUUGGUGGAGCGAUUUGUCUGGUUUAUUCCGAUAACGAGCGAGACUCUAGCCUGCUAAAUAGUAUCCAGAUUUUCAGGUCUGGUUGACUUCUUAGAGGGAUAAGCGGUGUUUAGCCGCACGAGAUUGAGCGAUAACAGGUCUGUGAUGCCCUUAGAUGUUCGGGGCUGCACGCGCGCUACACUGGAAGAAUCAGCUGGUCCUUCCAUUGCCGAAAGGUAUUGGUAAACCGUUGAAACUCUUCCGUGACCGGGAUAGGGAAUUGUAAUUAUUUCCCUUGAACGAGGAAUUCCUAGUAAGUGUGAGUCAUCACCUCACGUUGAUUACGUC